ensembl:miRNA mir92a-2 microRNA mir-92a-2
UGGAAGAUGUCCUGUCCUGUGCAGGUGGGGAUUAGUAGCAAUGCUGUUCUCCACGAGGUAUUGCACUUGUCCCGGCCUGUAAAGGAACGGGGAGAUGAAGCUG